UCGAGCGGUAGGCCUUUCGGGGUACACGAGCGGCGAACGGGUGAGUAACACGUGGGUGAUCUGCCCUGCACUUCGGGAUAAGCCUGGGAAACUGGGUCUAAUACCGGAUAUGACCUCCUAUCGCAUGGUGGGUGGUGGAAAGAUUUAUCGGUGCAGGAUGGGCCCGCGGCCUAUCAGCUUGUUGGUGGGGUAAUGGCCUACCAAGGCGACGACGGGUAGCCGACCUGAGAGGGUGACCGGCCACACUGGGACUGAGACACGGCCCAGACUCCUACGGGAGGCAGCAGUGGGGAAUAUUGCACAAUGGGCGAAAGCCUGAUGCAGCGACGCCGCGUGAGGGAUGACGGCCUUCGGGUUGUAAACCUCUUUCAGCAGGGACGAAGCGCAAGUGACGGUACCUGCAGAAGAAGCACCGGCUAACUACGUGCCAGCAGCCGCGGUAAUACGUAGGGUGCAAGCGUUGUCCGGAAUUACUGGGCGUAAAGAGUUCGUAGGCGGUUUGUCGCGUCGUUUGUGAAAACCAGCAGCUCAACUGCUGGCUUGCAGGCGAUACGGGCAGACUUGAGUACUGCAGGGGAGACUGGAAUUCCUGGUGUAGCGGUGAAAUGCGCAGAUAUCAGGAGGAACACCGGUGGCGAAGGCGGGUCUCUGGGCAGUAACUGACGCUGAGGAACGAAAGCGUGGGUAGCGAACAGGAUUAGAUACCCUGGUAG
rnacentral:rRNA from 1 species